rnacentral:lncRNA from 1 species
AGCUUUACAGACUUUUAUUUGUCAAUCUGUACAGAAUGCUGUUGCUAUUAUAAUAAGGCAUAAAGUGCACUAUCGAAAAGCUCACGAUGGACUGUGACAUUUUGCCCUGUUGUGGGUCAAAAAGGAGUUUUACAACAUUAAACCGGUUGCUUUCCCUGUCGGUAAACUUUAUAUUCAUUACAGACAGAUUUUUAAAAGAAUUACAAAGAUUAAAAAACUGUAAACAUAUAAAACCCAGCAACAACCCAGCGUGGCUUCCUAGGAGGGAGUCUCAGGCACUCCUGCUGUGGAGCCGGUGUGGGGCUGGCAGGGAGAAGGCAAGGCUCGCUGGCCAGGGAGCCUGGUGGGGCUGGGACAGUGUGGAGACAUUCCCUUUGGGUGCGAGUCCCCAGCUGGUACCAGGCAGUUCCCAAAUGGCCAGCCUCAGCCUCAGAUGUCUAAUCAAGGGAAAGAAACUGAGAAAACGGGUCACCGGGAGCUGUUUGAGCAGUGGGGAGCCAGCCGCAGGCUGCCGGCACCUCGCCACAGGGGAGCUUCACUGCAGCACACGGCACCUCCGGCCCUGCUGCAGGACCCUGCGUCCCCUCCGGCGGGCAGGCCUCGGCACACAGACAUGUCAUGAGGUAGAACAUGGGAAACUGUCACGCUUCACUGACAGAAAUAAACUAACGAAGGGCACAAAUCCCGGUAUGUUUUGGGGUACUCCAGGGCGCACCUAGAACCCACCUGGUGUGCGCCAAGAUUUAGAUCCCCAAAGAAGUAAGCUCUCCAGUGAUCCCUGUGACAACUUUAACCCAGGCAAGGAAAAACACCCAACCUAAUUUUUCUCACACUUGUACCCUUAAAGCGUUUAAAUUUUGAGCAGGGAAAAUCAAAUUGCAAUGGUGUAUGAGAGGGCAAUUAAUUUCCCUUGGCCUCAGCCUUUGGUACCACCUCGUGCGAGGUGAACGAUGCGAAGGCUCGCCCACCAGGCAAAUACAUUCAUUUUCCACCAUCAGCCACCAGACAGCAAGUGUUCUGGUCUCUGUCGCAUCACACAGCACGAGAACCUGAGAGUCCAGAGGUUUUAUAUCGCACCACCAACCCACACAGUCCUGUAAUUUGUACAGGUAUCUUGCUGGGUGAUCAGAGAAAUGUCCUGAGAGUUUUAUCUGCUAAACUCCUGCACUUUAAAGGCCUUCCUUCACCUCUUCCGCAGCACACACGAACACCAAAAUAAUGAAACUGUUAGUCCUGUUGCUGAAAUUUUCUUACUCCUCACACUUCUGCAGUGUAUAUUUAGAUUAUUAGGUUGACUUACAUUUCCUUAGAAUGCUUGGGGAAAACUUGAGGGUUCAUUUAAGUAUUGCAGGCUCAUGAUCUGUGACAGGCAUUUUACAAAGUGUCAGAAAACUUCUCACUUGAUAAUAACAUACUGACAGUCAGGGGAGCGUUCCCUUUUCUAGUGCUAAUAAUCAGCAUUAAGGCAUGCCAUAGUUGCUACAAGAAAUCUGUGAUCCUUACAGCGUUAGCUGUCAUCUUUCCGCAAUAAUAGAACGUACUCCAAUUUUAUGCACAUGUAUCAUUAAAAAAUAAAAAUAAUGACUCUUAAAACCACCAGCCUCAAUUUAGAGCUUCUGUCAGGAAGGUGAGAACAGUGAUUCCCGUUAGGUGCCCAGGCUGGUGAAAGGGUUUUCAUGUCCCACAACAUCCGUCCCCUGUCCCACACCACCUUGCUGCCCCCGGCUCAGUACCAUUUGCCUUCUCACUUGACAAGGCCUUCCUUGGGCCUCUGGAGGCCACAGCCAUCCGCCUCCCAUCCUCAGGGCAGUGCUGUCCCCACUGCCCCAUCUUGAGCAGUGUGUCAGGCCCUGCAGGCAGUGUCCACGUACCCACCAGCAGGCAAAGGCCAGCUAAGGAGGAGCCUUCCUCCUCCAUGUCCUGCUUCUCAGGCUACUUCCUUCCUCACUCUCACCGAUCAUAACAGGCUGAAGGCUUCUCCUUACAUCUGGAAGCUAUUCCAUUUAUUUACCCUAGAAAUUCAAUCCUGAAUUCCUGAUGACACAUCCACAGGGACGUAAGUUCUCCAAACACGACUGUGGAGAUUCUGGCCACUGUUGAGUUCCUGCCUGCAAACACGCUCCACAUCAUGACAUAAACUGGCAAAAUCAUCUACAAGGCAGCAGCACCACCUAAUAAGACUGCUCAUUUAAUUACCAAAUAACACUGAACUAAAGCGGCGGUUAGAGUAGAUAACAUCUGAAGCAGCAUCUCUUUUGCAGGGCCAAUGUUAAAGUCUGUGUAUCACACCAUGCUAUUUACAGUGACCAAAGGCAUGAACCUGGAGCAGGACAGCUCCUUGGGCCCCUGGUCAAAGGCACCCCUGUCAAAAUCCGUGGCUCGCAAGCAGGAGGGACUGAACUGGGUGAGUGCCAGACUCUGGUGCUGCACGUGUCUCCUGGCACAAACACCCAGGGAAGAGGGAAUGAGGAGGCAAAAUAGCAUUCAGUCUCUGCAUGAGGACCCCAUGUUUCCACCUGACACUUGUUAUUCUGAACCUUGUGCUGCCACAUAUUCCUGGGAAAAGGGGACACAAAGGAGACCUCCUCCCCCAAGAGAACUCUCCUCAGGUAUGUCACAGUGUGGAAAAAACAUCCCAGUAUCAUGUUAAAAAUACUUGCUAUUCCUGAUAUUUGAGACUUAACCCACAACUGACGAGGCUGUGACAGUGAAUCACAUGUUUCUACUAAGACUCUGCAGUCAGGGACUGUACAGACAGAGCUCUUCACUCAUGUUUGGAUUUUGCAGGGACACAUACAUGUAUACUAACAGGACAUAUAGAUAUACUAACCGCUGUUCAGUAGGAACUGACAGCAGUAUAUACAUCAAUCUUUGUUAGUUUUCUCAGCACUGCAAGAACACACCCUUAAUGUUCCACAGAAACUGAUUGAUAAUAAAGGGAACAGCACCAGGGGUACAGGUUUUUUGCUACUGUGCCACAGAACUGCGAUUAAUAACAACACAUACCCUAGAUCAUCUGUAUGUUAAGUGAGUCUCACGUCAGCCAGUAAACUGCCUGAUAUUUAACCUCUGUAUUUCCUGACACCUUAUUUUUUUUUACAAAUGAAGUGGUUUUUAUUGAAUGAGCCCCAGAAAGCUCCUUCCUGACCUUUCCUUGUUGGUUAUGAGAAGGCUGACAGCCUAGUGAUAUAAAACUGAAGUUUCAAAAGGACUAGUAAGAUGCAGACAGUCCCCAUAUAAGCAAAGCCCUGCAGCUGAGCUUGAAUUUCUUCUGGCAUCCGUGCUGAAGGAGACGUGUUCAGUCUUAGCAUCCCCACGUUUUUUCGCUCUUUGGGCCUUUUGAAGACUCCAAACACGAAGUCGGUUAAUUCAAGUUAUGGCAGUUUUCAUACAAAGACAUCUGUCCACCAGGAACUAAACUUCUUUUAUAUGGGUCACUAUAGCUAUCAGAAGUUAAUGACUAUCAAUCAUUGCUAAUCUGAACUGAAAUGGAGCCACUGACCUCAAGCUGAAAGAGCCUUUU